rnacentral:rRNA from 1 species
GCCUUAAUACAUGCAAGUCGAGCGCAGGAAGCAGGGGGAUCCCCUUCGGGGGUGAAGCCUGUGGAAUGAGCGGCGGACGGGUGAGUAACACGUGGGCAACCUGCCUGUAAGAUCGGAAUAACUCCGGGAAACCGGGGCUAAUGCCGGGUAAUCCUUCAUCUCGCAUGAGAGGAAGGUAAAAGAUGGCUUCUAGCUAUCACUUACAGAUGGGCCCGCGGCGCAUUAGCUAGUUGGUGAGGUAACGGCUCACCAAGGCGACGAUGCGUAGCCGACCUGAGAGGGUGAUCGGCCACACUGGGACUGAGACACGGCCCAGACUCCUACGGGAGGCAGCAGUAGGGAAUCUUCCGCAAUGGACGAAAGUCUGACGGAGCAACGCCGCGUGAACGAUGAAGGUCUUCGGAUCGUAAAGUUCUGUUGUUAGGGAAGAACAUGUACCGUUCAAACAGGGCGGUACCUUGACGGUACCUAACGAGGAAGCCCCGGCUAACUACGUGCCAGCAGCCGCGGUAAUACGUAGGGGGCAAGCGUUGUCCGGAAUUAUUGGGCGUAAAGCGCGCGCAGGCGGUUCCUUAAGUCUGAUGUGAAAGCCCACGGCUCAACCGUGGAGGGUCAUUGGAAACUGGGGAACUUGAGGACAGAAGAGGAGAGUGGAAUUCCACGUGUAGCGGUGAAAUGCGUAGAUAUGUGGAGGAACACCAGUGGCGAAGGCGACUCUCUGGUCUGUUUCUGACGCUGAGGUGCGAAAGCGUGGGUAGCAAACAGGAUUAGAUACCCUGGUAGUCCACGCCGUAAACGAU